rnacentral:rRNA from 1 species
UGCGCAGGCGGUUGUGCAAGACAGAUGUGAAAUCCCCGGGCUUAACCUGGGAAUGGCAUUUGUGACUGCAUGACUAGAGUGUGUCAGAGGGGGGUAGAAUUCCACGUGUAGCAGUGAAAUGCGUAGAUAUGUGGAGGAAUACCGAUGGCGAAGGCAGCCCCCUGGGAUAACACUGACGCUCAUGCACGAAAGCGUGGGGAGCAAACA